UGGAAUCAAGGCUGAGGCGCAGACUAGGCCUCCAUUAAGAGAACGCAGAUGGUAAAUACAUUUCCCCAUUUCAUGAUAUUCCACUCUUUGCUGGAUCCAAAGAGGAUAAAGAGAUUCCUGCAAAGAGGUCAAAGACUACAGGAAAUGAGGUACAGCUAGGUUCUUCUUUUCCCUCCUCCUCCUUUUCUUUUCCCUCCUUUGC
rnacentral:lncRNA from 1 species